AACAAACUAACGGUGACGGGGAAAGUGGACCCAGCAAAAAUCAAAGCCAGGCUUGAAGAGAAGACCAAGAGGAAAGUCGAGAUUAUCUCUCCCCAACCUAAGAAAGACGAUGGUGCCGCCGCCAAAGUUAUUUCCGUUUACAAGCUGGACAUGUAUUGUGAAGGCUGUGCCAAGGAAAUUAGACACGCCGUUAAACAUUUAGAAGGUGAUUUUUAUUUAUUUAUAGCAACUAACAUUUAGCAAUCUAAGAAUUAAUCUAUCUGAGUUUGAUUUUCCGGUUGCUAAGACGAUGUUUUUGUGGGUUUAUUCAGGCGUGGAAGGUUUGAAGACAGAUUGUGCCGGCAACAAACUAACGGUGACGGGGAAAGUGGACCCAGCAAAAAUCAAAGCCAGGCUUGAAGAGAAGACCAAGAGGACUUGGAAAGUCGAGAUUAUCUCUCCCCAACCUAAGAAAGACGAUGGUGCCGCUGCAAAAAUCAAAGCCAGGCUUGAAGAGAAGACCAAGAGGAAAGUCGAGAUUAUCUCUCCCCAACCUAAGAAAGACGAUGGUGCCGCUGCAAAAAUCAAAGCCAGGCUUGAAGAGAAGACCAAGAGGAAAGUCGAGAUUAUCUCUCCCCAACCUAAGAAAGACGAUGGUGCCGCUGCAAAAAUCAAAGCCAGGCUUGAAGAGAAGACCAAGAGGAAAGUCGAGAUUAUCUCUCCCCAACCUAAGAAAGACGAUGGUGCCGCUAAGAAACCCGAAAAGAAACCGGAGGGGAAUAAGGAAGAAGCGAAAAAACCACCUCCAGAGGUAAAUAAAUAAAUAAAUUACUGCCUACUAAGAUUUAAUCGUGAAUAUAGACGUUGAUUAUCCUUUUGUUUUCUAUUGUUAGUACUUUUUAACUAAUUUUUAAUAACUCUUGGUAGUUGCAGAGUACCGUCGUUUUGAAAAUCAGGCUGCACUGUGAAGGUUGCAUUUCAAAAAUAAAGAAAACCAUCUCCGAAAUCAAAGGUAAUUAGUUAAUUAUACAUUUGAUUAUUACAUCAAACUAACAUAUUAAAUCUGAAUAUUCAAAGUCGGUGGCAAAAUAGUAAACAAAUAGAUGGCUGACGUGGCUAAUUAAAAACAGGUGUGGGCAGCGUGACUGUGGACGCGGCGAAGAAUCUGGUCACUGUGAAGGGAACAAUGGAUGUGAAGGACUUGGCACCGUACCUAAAAGAGAAAAAAGGAUAGCAGUGGAGGCGGUUCCACCGAAAAAGGAGGAAGAGAAGAAAGACAAAGCAGGCAGCGGAGACAGCGCGGUCCUGAUUGCCUGCCUUGUAUUCUUAAUUACACGUGCUGUGGUGUUAUUAAUUACAUAGAACCCUUGGUGCUGCAACAAAUGGCAGUGGUGGUGUCUGCCUGUCUGGUGUGCGUUGAGUUCGUUCCAAUAAUACAUCAUUUUAGGUUGCUAUUUCGGUAUGCAGGGUUCCGAACCCUUUAUUGAAGCAGAUUGAUUUUCAAUCUAGGUGGUAAUAUAUGUUGGGAAAAUUAAGAGUCUGAUUGUAUAGAACAGCAAGGGAUUAUUCAAUAUACGUGCUCUGC
rnacentral:lncRNA from 1 species